rnacentral:rRNA from 1 species
CCUACGGGAGGCAGCAGUAGGGCAUUUUCGGCAAUGGGGUGAACCCUGACCGAGCAACGCCGCGUGAACGAAUAAGUUAUUCGUAAUGUAAAGUUCUUUUAACAGGGAAGAAAGAGCAAUUUGACGGUACCUUAAGAAUAAGCUCCGGCUAACUACGUGCCAGCAGCCGCGGUAAUACGUAGGGAGCGAGCGUUAUCCGGAUUUAUUGGGCGUAAAGUGUGCGUAGAUGGCAUAGGAAGUCUUUGGUAAAAAUGAUGGUCUCAACCCAGUAGGGCAAAAGAUACUGCAAAGCUAGAGUAUGACAGAGGCAAGUGGAACUACAUGUGUAGCGGUAAAAUGCGUAAAUAUAUGUAAGAACACCAGUGGCGAAGGCGGCUUGCUGGGUCGAUACUGACAUUGAGGCACGAAAGCGUGGGGAGCAAACAGGAGUAGAUACCCCUGUAGUC